rnacentral:rRNA from 1 species
UACGGAGGGUGCAAGCGUUAUCCGGAUUCACUGGGUUUAAAGGGUGCGUAGGUGGCUUUGUAAGUCAGUGGUGAAAUCUUAGAGCUUAACUCUAAAACUGCCAUUGAUACUGCUUAGCUUGAAUCAAGUAGAGGUGGAUGGAAUAAUACAUGUAGCGGUGAAAAUGCUUAGAUAUGUAUUAGAACACCGAUUGCGAAGGCAGUUCACUAUGCUUGUAUUGACACUGAGGCACGAAAGCGUGGGGAUCAAACAGG